AUACGGGGGGAGCAAGCGUUGUUCGGAAUUACUGGGCGUAAAGGGGGUCUAGGUGGCUAAGUAAGUUAGGUGUGAAAAUUAUCGGCUUAACCGAUAACCGGCAUUUAAAACUGCUUGGCUAGAGUACGGGAGAGGAGAGCGGAAUUUUGUGUGUAGCGGUGAAAUGUGUAGAUAUGCAAAAGAACACCAGUGGCGAAGGCGGCUCUCUGGCCCGAUACUGACACUGAAGCCCGAAAGCUAGGGGAGCAAACAGGAUUAGAUACCCCAGUAGUCC
rnacentral:rRNA from 1 species